UGGGGAAUAUUGGACAAUGGGCGCAAGCCUGAUCCAGCCAUGCCGCGUGGAUGAUGAAGGCCCUAGGGUUGUAAAGUCCUUUCGGCGGGGAAGAUAAUGACGGUACCCGCAGAAGAAGCCCCGGCUAACUUCGUGCCAGCAGCCGCGGUAAUACGAAGGGGGCUAGCGUUGCUCGGAAUCACUGGGCGUAAAGCGCACGUAGGCGGGUUCUUAAGUCGGUGGUGAAAUCCUGGAGCUCAACUCCAGAACUGCCUCCGAUACUGGGAGUCUCCGAGUCCGGGAGAGGUGAGUGGAACUGCGAGUGUAGAGGUGAAAUUCGUAGAUAUUCGCAAGAACACCAGUGGCGAAGGCGGCUCACUGGCCCGGUACUGACGCUGAGGUGCGAAAGCGUGGGGAGCAA
rnacentral:rRNA from 1 species